CUUCCACUAGGACUUUUCUACUUGAUUUCUACUUCCACCAAGACUUCCACCUAUACUUCUGUUGUAUUCGUGUAUCUUCAUCUUUCGUGCAUCGACUUUCGAGACAUCGAACUUUUUUUUCUCCUCAACACUGUCCAGGGGCCCCUACGACGACGCACCGGAUCACCGCCGGAAUUCUCAACAACGCAAGACCAGCACCGAAGCCUAAAAAUUGUGUUUACAAGAUUUUGUCGAGGAGAAGGAAGUAAAACAGGAAAAUAUGGUACAGGUGACAACGCACCAAUGUAACUGUAUUCGGUAUUCUGGAAAGAGGAGAUAAACACUUUAUUCUUCAAAAACGAAGAAGGAAAUAAAUAACACUCCUAUUUCCGGACGUAGAAACGUUAAAAUUCUGCAUUAAUUCUUAAAUAUUAUUUAAUAACGAAAUGAAGUACUUAAGGCACGUCCUCCACGUUCUCUUGAUCUUCUUACCUUUUCUGAAUGGUUCUUUAAUCGAUUUGGAAGGUAACGGCUACAAAGGUAUUAUCGUUGCUAUAAAAAAUACAAUUAGUGAAGAUGCCCAGCUGAUUGAGAAUAUCAAGGUGAGUUUUUUUUGGAUAAAAAUUGCGUUUUUUGAAUUUUAACCGGGCCAUAAGCCAAAAUAUUCCAAUUUUCUCUAAAUGGAAUGUUUCGUGUAUAUUUACACAUAGCCUAUAUAAGUAAACUUUUAGAUAUUUUUUGGAAUAUUUUACUAUCAAUGAAAGAUUGUACGGAGAAAUCACACACAAAAAACGAAAGAUUCAGAGAUAAAACUCGGAAAUCCUGGUUACGUUAGUUGCGAAAUGAAAAUUUUCCAUUUUUAGAAAUGAUUCUGUCUUUUAAAACAUGGAAAUUUUCUUACAUUUUAAACGAAAGUUGCCAAAAAAUCCAAUAAAAUCCAUUCUAAUUUGAUAAAUACGCGCCCGGGU